UCGCAAGGGCAAAAUGGACAUUUUACACACACAAGUAUAAAUAGAAAAGGGGCAACUAGAAAACCCUAGAGCCCUCACUCUUUCCCUCUCGGCCGCGUUUCUCUUUCUCUCUCCCCAACCUCUCUCUCUCUCGUUCUCCCUCUGCCAUCACCGGAAAAUACCAUCUCCGGCCACCAUCUCGCAAAACCACCACCACCAAUCGAUCCAGCACCCAAAUCCGACCCAAGCCUAAGCCUUACCGUCGACAUGCAUCGCCCACAGCCACCGUACACGACCACCACAGUCGCGACCUCACUGCCCCUCCUCUUUCGUCGAUCUCCGAUCAUUACCUCGCCACAGCGUCACCACAUCUCCACUCAACAAGCGACGAGGAGUAAAACCCAGAAGCCCUGCCACCCACCGAAGCUGAACGACGCCAAACACACAUCAUCGGAGCCCUCGGCUCUGCAUGUCUUCGUUUUCCGGCCUCCAGUCCAAAUCGAGCAAAACCACCUCCAGAAAUAGGAUCAGCGCCUCGUCAAUCACCACAACCCCUAACCCAGACCUUUGACUCCAACCAGAGCCGCCGCACACCGUCGUAGCUCCGCCGUGUACAUCGCCGAUAUAUCCAAUCUUUCUGGUAAGCCAACCCGAGGCCCCUUUCCUUGUCCCAUUGAGUUUCCAAUUUCGAAAUAAUGGGUCUCUGAUGCUUUGUUCUUCGAUUGGGGAUAUUUGAACAUUGGGUACGGAGGAGACGAAGAAGUACAGAUUAGAAGGAAAGGCUACUAGUCUUGAGUUCGAAUGUGUUCUUAAAGGAAUGAUGAAGAGAUGAUGGCAACUGCAAGAUGCAGCACGUAGUGAAGGAUGUGGUCUCGGCAAACUAAAAUGGGUAAGGAACACAGGCUUUCGAAUUUUGAAUUUGACUGUUGUUGGGACAUUGAGGUUAAUUAAUUAAGGAUGUUGUUUUAUGGAGGAAAUGAGGUCUGCGGAACUGCAAGCUUUCGGAGAAGGGAAGUGCUGGGUCAGUUCCAUUUGUAUUGAGGAAUUGGGAAUCUGAAGGAUUAAUGGUGGUGAAAUGCAGCUUCCACGAUUUGGCUAUCUAAAUUGGAAAAGAACAAGGGUAAGGGUCUUGGUACUUCUGCUGUGAAAUAUUGGUACAUGGUGAGGUUGUGGCCUUGUGGAUUACUUGAGAUGAAAUUGAUUGAAUGUAUGGACAGAGUUUAUUUUCUCAAUUAAGAUGAUGUAUUUGGUUU